UACGGGGGGGGCAAGCGUUGUUCGGAAUUACUGGGCGGAAAGGGCUCGUAGGUGGCCAACUAAGUCAGACGUGAAAUCCCUCGGCUUAACCGGGGAACUGCGUCUGAUACUGGACGGCUUGAGUUUGGGAGAGGGACGCGGAAUUCCAGGUGUAGCGGUGAAAUGCGUAGAUAUCUGGAGGAACACCGGUGGCGAAGGCGGCGUCCUGGACCAACACUGACACUGAGGAGCGAAAGCCAGGGGAGCAAACGGG
rnacentral:rRNA from 1 species